GUGAACCAGUACCGUGAGGGAAAGGCGAAAAGAACCCCGGCGAGGGGAGUGAAAAAGAACCUGAAACCGUGUACGUACAAGCAGUGGGAGCACGCUUAGGCGUGUGACUGCGUACCUUUUGUAUAAUGGGUCAGCGACUUAUAUUCUGUAGCAAGGUUAACCGAAUAGGGGAGCCGAAGGGAAACCGAGUCUUAACUGGGCGUUAAGUUGCAGGGUAUAGACCCGAAACCCGGUGAUCUAGCCAUGGGCAGGUUGAAGGUUGGGUAACACUAACUGGAGGACCGAACCGACUAAUGUUGAAAAAUUAGCGGAUGACUUGUGGCUGGGGGUGAAAGGCCAAUCAAACCGGGAGAUAGCUGGUUCUCCCCGAAAGCUAUUUAGGUAGCGCCUCGUGAAUUCAUCUCCGGGGGUAGAGCACUGUUUCGGCAAGGGGGUCAUCCCGACUUACCAACCCGAUGCAAACUGCGAAUACCGGAGAAUGUUAUCACGGGAGACACACGGCGGGUGCUAACGUCCGUCGUGAAGAGGGAAACAACCCAGACCGCCAGCUAAGGUCCCAAAGUCAUGGUUAAGUGGGAAACGAUGUGGGAAGGCCCAGACAGCCAGGAUGUUGGCUUAGAAGCAGCCAUCAUUUAAAGAAAGCGUAAUAGCUCACUGGUCGAGUCGGCCUGCGCGGAAGAUGUAACGGGGCUAAACCAUGCAC
rnacentral:rRNA from 1 species